UUUAUUUAGGUGUAAUUAGCAUAUAGGUUUUUGAUACUUAAGGAAAUGAAUUACAUCAUUAUAUUAUA
rnacentral:tRNA from 1 species